GGGGAUGUGUCUUCAUGAUAGAGCAUGCGCUUAAUGUAUGCAAAGCCCUGGGUUCAAUCCCCAGCAGCACCA
rnacentral:tRNA from 1 species